rnacentral:rRNA from 1 species
CCUACGGGCGGCAGCAGUGGGGAAUAUUGCACAAUGGGGGAAACCCUGAUGCAGCGACGCCGCGUGAGUGAAGAAGUAUUUCGGUAUGUAAAGCUCUAUCAGCAGGGAAGAAGAAAGACGGUACCUGACUCAGAAGCACCGGCCAACUACGUGCCAGCAGCCGCGGUAAUACGUAGGGGGCACGCGUUAUCCGGAUUUACUGGGGGUAACGGGAGCGUAGACGGCUGUGCAAGUCUGAAGUGAAAGGCCAGGGCUCAACCCUGGGACUGCUUUGGAAACUGUGGAGCUAGAGUGCUGGAGAGGUAAGUGGAAUUCCUAGUGUAGCGGUGAAAUGCGUAGAUAUUAGGAGGAACACCAGUGGCGAAGGCGGCUUACUGGACAGUAACUGACGUUGAGGCACGAAAGCGUGGGUAGCGAACAGGAUUAGAUACCCCAGUAGUC